GCCUAGCCGGCUCAGUCAGUAGAGCAUGCGGCUCUUGAUCUCGAGGUCGUGAGUUCAAGUCCCACACUGGGUG
rnacentral:tRNA from 1 species